rnacentral:rRNA from 1 species
AACGUUUUAAAAAGAUGGUUCUGCUAUCACUCUUGGAUGGACCUGCGGUGCAUUAGCUAGUUGGUAGGUAACGGCUACCAAGGCGAUGAUGCAUAGCCGAGUUGAGAGACUGAUCGGCCACAUUGGGACUGAGACACGGCCCAAACUCCUACGGGAGGCAGCAGUAGGGAAUCUUCCACAAUGGACGCAAGUCUGAUGGAGCAACGCCGCGUGAGUGAAGAAGGGUUUCGGCUCGUAAAGCUCUGUUGUCGGUGAAGAAAGGACAGGGGUAGGUAACUAGACCGUUCGUUUGUACGGUAAGUACUAAUUAGAAAGUCACGGGCUAACUACGUGCCAGCAGCCGCGGUAAAU